GCAAAGUGGAGCAGGACCAAGUGAAUGCUAGGACGUGAACAGACCAAACCAGGAUGAGGAUGGAGCCAACACGAAGACAGUCUGUAAACUUUUUUUUUUUUUUUUAAUAACUUUUUUUUGCAAUUAUACUGAUAUGUAUGUUAUUCAAAUGAGGUAUUUGUUCAUUAUAAUCUUUUACGCUUUUUUUAUAAAUGAGAAUCAAGGGUCACUACUGUGAUGUUUUGUUGCUAUCAUAGUGUAAAUCACAGAUAUUCUGUGAUGUAGUUGGAAAGGAUGUUUUUCAGAAACAGAUGGAUCUAAAAGUAUCAUGGGGCAGCACUCAGUCAGUCGUAUGUCUGGAAUUCCGCUAGUUCUGAACUAUUCGUGAUUGGCAAAAGUUCACUACUAGCAGAACUCGGAUAUACAACUGAAUUCUCAACGAAAGCUCAAGAUUAGCACAGUUCGGUCUCACAUGGACAACUGCUAUGUUCACGUGAUAUUUAUUGGAUGAUGUACAAGAAGACCAACCUUGGAUGUGUUACUCCAUUACUCAUAACUGAAGGGCUACAGACUUGAUUACAGUUAACUGUGUUAUGUAAGUGAGGAUAGCAAAAUAAAGUAAACUGUGACAUAUUAUUCCCAAAAAUUUGACCAUGUUUUGUUACAUACCUUUCUAUCAAAGUUAUCAUCAUGAAUUUGUGAAUUAUUACUGACAUAGUUUAACUCCUGAGUUCUGGUCAUAUUUUAUUACUAUUUUCUAAACUACAGCGAAAGAACAGUGAUAAUGUGAAAAUUUUAGAAGGUGUCUGAAAAUUUUUUGGGACAACUGUAAUUUAUUUGUGAUUAUCAAGAUGAAAUUGUUCUGACACAGUUUAACUCUGAGUUCUUGUCAUAUUUUAUUACCAUUUUCUAAACUAUAAUGUGAUAAUGUGAGAAAUGCUGAAGGUGUCUGAAUAAAUUUUGGUUUGAC